GGGACUGUAGCUCAGUGGUAAAGCAUUUGCCUAAUAUGUAAGAUGCCUCAGUUCCA
rnacentral:tRNA from 1 species